rnacentral:snoRNA from 1 species
UGGAUCGAUGAUGACUUCCUUAUAUACAUUCCUUGGAAAGCUGAACAAAAUGAGUGAAAACUCUAUACCGUCAUCCUCGUCGAACUGAGGUCCAGCACAUUGCUCUUACAGGGGCUAGAGAGAGAGGGACAAAUUUCAUUUGAUGAUGCCCAUUGCACCAAGGGGUUCUGUCCAGGCUUAGGAUGGGGUCUCGUUUGGGCAAAGGAGAAUGGCAGGGGAGUGGAGGCUAUGUACACAGGAGAUUCCUUGUUUGAAGGACUCUAUUUGUGAGGCCAGGGUACCACACAUGCUGUCCGCAGGAGUAGGUGAAUGUGCAGUUGCCCAGGAAGAGUUAGCCUGUAGCCUGCCUCUGCAUGGCAGUUUGUCCUUGGGUCCUGGCUCUGGAUUUCCAUGUUCCUUGGAGGAGGAUAGGUGAUUUUGCUUGAGAAGACAGCACAGUACCAUACUUUUGUUGUUUUUCUGCUCAUUUCAUCGUCCAUUGAGGACAAUGAAGUUGUGGUCAGCAGGCAUAGCUUUCAGGCCAGCGUGCCCAUGUUGUGUCCCAUGCAUUGUGAGCACAUGCAUGUGGCAUGAACACAUAGGCUGCCACUCCAAGCUGAGUCUGAUAGGCAAUGAGACUCUGGCUUAUCCUGAUCCCGGUGUAGAUCAAAGUCUUCCCAGUAGGAUUGCAUGGCCCCGAGGCUAUUGUGAGCUGCAUUGCAGGUGUGGAAGCAAGGGUGUUGAGAGGGAUGCUCAACAUUAGUGCUCUUUAGCGAGAUGAUGCACUAUAAGGGCACCCUGAACCCAGACGUGCAUCCCUAUGUACGUGCAUUUCUGUGUCCAUAAAUAGUUGAAGCCAGACAGCCAGAUUCCAGAUGUAUCGCAGGGGGCUGGAUGACAUGGCCCUUGUCACCUGUGUACCUGUCUGCCUUUCUGAAGCACGCUUGUGUUUCCUCUACACCUCCCAGGUAGCAUUGGCAUGGAAGGCAGGCCCAUGUUGGUGAGGGACAAUUGUUAUCUUGUGUGAGCCGCAGGGAUACCAGGAAACCCCUGGACACAAAUGGCAAAGGCUUCUUUGGAAGUUGUUGGAUCCCUUCUGCAUGUAAGCAGUUCUUUCCCAGAGCGCUCUGAUUUUCCUCAUUUGCAGGGACAAACACUGUGCGUGGAUCGAUGAUGACUUCCAUAUAUACAUUCCUUGGAAAGCUGAACAAAAUGAGUGAAAACUCUAUACCGUCAUCCUCGUCGAACUGAGGUCCA